rnacentral:rRNA from 1 species
ACUCAAAGGAAUAGACGGGGGCCCGCACAAGCGGUGGAGCAUGUGGUUCAAUUCGACGCAACGCGAAGAACCUUACCUGGGCUCGAACGGCUUCCCAACGGUAGUGGAAACACUGCUAUCCCGCAAGGGAGUGGAGUCGAGGUGCUGCAUGGCUGUCGUCAGCUCGUGUCGUGAGAUGUUGGGUUAAGUCCCGCAACGAGCGCAACCCUUGUCCUGUGUUGCCAUGUUCGCAAGAACGGAACUCGCAGGAGACCGCCAGGGAUAACCUGGAGGAAGGUGGGGAUGACGUCAAGUCCUCAUGGCCUUUAUGUCCAGGGCUACACACGUGCUACAAUGGCCGGUACAAAGCGCUGCUAAGUCGCAAGACGGAGCCAAUCGCAAAAAACCGGUCUCAGUUCGGAUUGCAGGCUGCAACUCGCCUGCAUGAAGCUGGAAUCGCUAGUAAUGGCAUAUCAGAAUGAUGCCGUGAAUACGUUCCCGGGCCUUGCACACACCGCCCGU